rnacentral:rRNA from 1 species
UACGAAGGGGGCUAGCGUUGUUCGGAUUUACUGGGCGUAAAGCGCGUGUAGGCGGAUCGAUAAGUUGGGGGUGAAAGCCCAGAGCUCAACUCUGGAACUGCCUUCAAGACUGUCGGUCUGGACUCAAGGAGAGGCAAGUGGAAUGACUAGUGUAGAGGUGAAAUUCGUAGAUAUUAGUCGGAACACCAGUGGCGAAGGCGACUUGCUGGACUUGUAGUGACGCUGAGACGCGAAAGCGUGGGGAGCAAAC